AUUGAACGCUGGCGGCAUGCCUUACACAUGCAAGUCGAACGGCAGCACGGGAGCUUGCUCCUGGUGGCGAGUGGCGAACGGGUGAGUAAUACAUCGGAACGUACCCUGAAGUGGGGGAUAACGUAGCGAAAGUUACGCUAAUACCGCAUAUUCUGUGAGCAGGAAAGAGGGGGAUCGCAAGACCUCUUGCUUUAGGAGCGGCCGAUGUCGGAUUAGCUAGUUGGUGAGGUAAAGGCUCACCAAGGCGACGAUCCGUAGCGGGUCUGAGAGGAUGAUCCGCCACACUGGGACUGAGACACGGCCCAGACUCCUAUGGGAGGCAGCAGUGGGGAAUUUUGGACAAUGGGCGCAAGCCUGAUCCAGCCAUGCCGCGUGAGUGAAGAAGGCCU
rnacentral:rRNA from 1 species